AUUGAACGCUGGCGGCAGGCUUAACACAUGCAAGUCGAGCGGGGUGAUGGUGCUUGCACUAUCACUUAGCGGCGGACGGGCGAGUAAUGCUUAGGAAUCUGCCUAUUAGUGGGGGACAACAUCUCGAAAGGGAUGCUAAUACCGCAUACGUCCUACGGGAGAAAUCAGGGGAUCACUUGUGACCUUGCGCUAAUAGAUGAGCCUAAGUCGGAUUAGCUAGUUGGUGGGGUAAAGGCUUACCAAGGCGACGAUCUGUAGCGGGUCUGAGAGGAUGGUCCGCCACACUGGGACUGAGACACGGCCCAGACUCCUACGGGAGGCAGCAGUGGGGAAUAUUGGACAAUGGGGGGAACCCUGAUCCAGCCAUGCCGCGUGUGUGAAGAAGGCCUUAUGGUUGUAAAGCACUUUAAGCGAGGAGGAGGCUCUUUUGGUUAAUACCCAAGAUGAGUGGACGUUACUCGCAGAAUAAGCACCGGCUAACUCUGUGCCAGUAGCCGCCGUAA
rnacentral:rRNA from 1 species